rnacentral:rRNA from 1 species
GAUUUCUGGCACGGUGUGCCUGGCCCGCGGCGUUAGCUUGCGAGUGCCGGGUCGCGCCUGUCAUCCUUCUAGAUAGCAAUGCUACCCCUCACGGGGCCGGCACUUACGAUCUAGAUCUUUUACUUUGAAAAAAUUAGAGUGUUUCAAGCAGGCGUUUGCUAUGAAUAUAUUAGCAUGGAAUAAUCAACUAGGACUUCGGUUUAAUUUUGUUGGUUUCUUAUGACUGAAGUAAUGAUUGAUAGGGAUAGUUGGGGGUGCUCGUAUUCAGCGGCCAGAGGUGAAAUUCUCGGAUUCGCUGAAGACGAACUACUGCGAAAGCAUU